rnacentral:rRNA from 1 species
GACGAACGCUGGCGGCGUGCUUAACACAUGCAAGUCGAACGAUGAAGCCUUAGCUUGCUUUGGUGGAUUAGUGGCGAACGGGUGAGUAACACGUGAGCAACGUGCCCAGGACUCUGGAAUAACCGCGGGAAACCGUGGCUAAUAACGGAUAGGUGCCGAGGCCGCAUGGUCUUCGGUUGGAAAGUUUUUGCGGUUCUGGAUCGGCUCACGGCCUAUCAGCUUGUUGGUGGGGUAAUGGCCUACCAAGGCGACGACGGGUAGCCGGCCUGAGAGGGUGACCGGCCACACUGGGACUGAGAGACGGCCCAGACUCCUACGGGAGGCAGCAGUGGGGAAUAUUGCACAAUGGGCGCAAGCCUGAUGCAGCAACGCCGCGUGGGGGAUGACGGCCUUCGGGUUGUAAACCUCUUUUAGUAGGGAAGAAGCGCAAGUGACGGUACCUGCAGAAAAAGCACCGGCUAACUACGUG